rnacentral:tRNA from 1 species
UCUUCAGAUGGAUGAUCCCAAGCCUUCUGGCGAUCUCUUAAAAUAAAGCCUAGCCUGCUUUACAAAAAAAACGGGCGUUUAGAUACUCUUUAAAUUCUUAUGAACCUUAAAGAGUAUCCAUUUAAAAAAGGCUUUAUGAAGAAAGCAUUUUAAGCUUUUCCAGUGAUUUAAGAUGAUACCGGGGAAGGUUUUCCGGUUUAUCCCGGAGGGCUUGUAGCUCAGUUGGUUAGAGCGCGCGCUUGAUAAGCGUGAGGUCGGAGGUUCAAGUCCUCCCAGGCCCACCAGUUUAUGCUCGUUUUUUGCUUAUUCUUGAGCGUUAUGAAGCUUAAGCUUAUCAAAGCCUCUUUAAUCUUUGUUCAUCGUUUAAAGAUUUUAUUUUAUCCUUCAAAAAUUGUUUGUUAAAUUUAUCAAACAGUGCCUUUGCAAAAAAGGGUUUUUAAGUUCCCUUAAGAGGAUAGACAAAUUUAAAAGGAUAAAAAUGAUAAAAAUAAUACAAGUCGAAAUAAUAUUGAUCGAAAAAAUAGUAUUGAUUAAAAGGAGGACAAGUCACUCAAGUUGAUAAAUUUUUUUGAGGUUGAUUUGAGAGAGCAUUCUUUAGGGGCCGUAGCUCAGCUGGGAGAGCACCUGCUUUGCAAGCAGGG